rnacentral:rRNA from 1 species
CAUUAACUGAAUCCAUAGGUUAAUGAGGCGAACCGGGGGAACUGAAACAUCUAAGUACCCCGAGGAAAAGAAAUCAACCGAGAUUCCCCCAGUAGCGGCGAGCGAACGGGGAGGAGCCCAGAGCCUGAAUCAGCAUGUGUGUUAGUGGAAGCGUCUGGAAAGGCGCGCGAUACAGGGUGACAGCCCCGUACACAAAAGCGCAUGUGCUGUGAGCUCGAUGAGUAGGGCGGGACACGUGGUAUCCUGUCUGAAUAUGGGGGGACCAUCCUCCAAGGCUAAAUACUCCUGACUGACCGAUAGUGAACCAGUACCGUGAGGGAAAGGCGAAAAGAACCCCGGCGAGGGGAGUGAAAAAGAACCUGAAACCGUGUACGUACAAGCAGUGGGAGCACCCUUUGGGUGUGACUGCGUACCUUUUGUAUAAUGGGUCAGCGACUUAUAUUCUGUAGCAAGGUUAACCGAAUAGGGGAGCCGGAGGGAAACCGAGUCUUAACCGGGCGUUAAGUUGCAGGGUAUAGACCCGAAACCCGGUGAUCUAGCCAUGGGCAGGUUGAAGGUUGGGUAACACUAACUGGAGGACCGAACCGACUAAUGUUGAAAAAUUAGCGGAUGACCUGUGGCUGGGGGUGAAAGGCCAAUCAAACCGGGAGAUAGCUGGUUCUCCCCGAAAGCUAUUUAGGUAGCGCCUCGUGAAUUCAUCUCCGGGGGUAGAGCACUGUUUCGGCUAGGGGGCCAUCCCGGCUUACCAACCCGAUGCAAACUGCGAAUACCGGAGAAUGUUAUCACGGGAGACACACGGCGGGUGCUAACGUCCGUCGUGAAGAGGGAAACAACCCAGACCGCCAGCUAAGGUCCCAAAGUCAUGGUUAAGUGGGAAACGAUGUGGGAAGGCCCAGACAGCCAGGAUGUUGGCUUAGAAGCAGCCAUCAUUUAAAGAAAGCGUAAUAGCUCACUGGUCGAGUCGGCCUGCGCGGAAGAUGUAACGGGGCUAAACCAUGCACCGAAGCUGCGGCAGCGACACUGUGUGUUGUUGGGUAGGGGAGCGUUCUGUAAGCCUGUGAAGGUGUGUCGUGAGGCAUGCUGGAGGUAUCAGAAGUGCGAAUGCUGACAUAAGUAACGAUAAAGCGGGUGAAAAGCCCGCUCGCCGGAAGACCAAGGGUUCCUGUCCAACGUUAAUCGGGGCAGGGUGAGUCGACCCCUAAGGCGAGGCCGAAAGGCGUAGUCGAUGGGAAACGGGUUAAUAUUCCCGUACUUGGUGUUACUGCGAAGGGGGGACGGAGAAGGCUAUGUUGGCCGGGCGACGGUUGUCCCGGUUUAAGCGUGUAGGUGUGUGUUCCAGGUAAAUCCGGUUCACUUUAACACUGAGGCGUGACGACGAGGCACUACGGUGCUGAAGCAACAAAUGCCCUGCUUCCAGGAAAAGCCUCUAAGCAUCAGGUAACAUCAAAUCGUACCCCAAACCGACACAGGUGGUCAGGUAGAGAAUACCAAGGCGCUUGAGAGAACUCGGGUGAAGGAACUAGGCAAAAUGGUGCCGUAACUUCGGGAGAAGGCACGCUGACACGUAGGUGAAGUGAUUUACUCAUGGAGCUGAAGUCAGUCGAAGAUACCAGCUGGCUGCAACUGUUUAUUAAAAACACAGCACUGUGCAAACACGAAAGUGGACGUAUACGGUGUGACGCCUGCCCGGUGCCGGAAGGUUAAUUGAUGGGGUCAGCGCAAGCGAAGCUCCUGAUCGAAGCCCCGGUAAACGGCGGCCGUAACUAUAACGGUCCUAAGGUAGCGAAAUUCCUUGUCGGGUAAGUUCCGACCUGCACGAAUGGCGUAAUGAUGGCCAGGCUGUCUCCACCCGAGACUCAGUGAAAUUGAACUCGCUGUGAAGAUGCAGUGUACCCGCGGCAAGACGGAAAGACCCCGUGAACCUUUACUAUAGCUUGACACUGAACAUUGAGCCUUGAUGUGUAGGAUAGGUGGGAGGCUUUGAAGUGUGGACGCCAGUCUGCAUGGAGCCGACCUUGAAAUACCACCCUUUAAUGUUUGAUGUUCUAACGUGGACCCGUUACCCGGGUUGCGGACAGUGUCUGGUGGGUAGUUUGACUGGGGCGGUCUCCUCCUAAAGAGUAACGGAGGAGCACGAAGGUUGGCUAAUCCUGGUCGGACAUCAGGAGGUUAGUGCAAUGGCAUAAGCCAGCUUGACUGCGAGCGUGACGGCGCGAGCAGGUGCGAAAGCAGGUCAUAGUGAUCCGGUGGUUCUGAAUGGAAGGGCCAUCGCUCAACGGAUAAAAGGUACUCCGGGGAUAACAGGCUGAUACCGCCCAAGAGUUCAUAUCGACGGCGGUGUUUGGCACCUCGAUGUCGGCUCAUCACAUCCUGGGGCUGAAGUAGGUCCCAAGGGUAUGGCUGUUCGCCAUUUAAAGUGGUACGCGAGCUGGGUUUAGAACGUCGUGAGACAGUUCGGUCCCUAUCUGCCGUGGGCGCUGGAGAACUGAGGGGGGCUGCUCCUAGUACGAGAGGACCGGAGUGGACGCAUCACUGGUGUUCGGGUUGUCAUGCCAAUGGCACUGCCCGGUAGCUAAAUGCGGAAGAGAUAAGUGCUGAAAGCAUCUAAGCACGAAACUUGCCCCGAGAUGAGUUCUCCCUGAGACUUAAAGUCUCCUGAAGGAACGUUGAAGACGACGACGUUGAUAGGCCGGGUGUGUAAGCGCAGCGAUGCGUUGAGCUAACCGGUACUAAUGAACCGUGAGGCUUAACCUUACAACGCCGAAG